UACGAAGGGUGCUAGCGUUGUUCGGAUUUACUGGGCGUAAAGGGCACGCAGGCGGCCAAACAAGUCAGAGGUGAAAUCCCAGGGCUCAACCCUGGAACUGCCUUUGAAACUGUUUGGCUAGAGACCGAGAGAGGUGAGUGGAAUUCCUAGUGUAGAGGUGAAAUUCGUAGAUAUUAGGAGGAACACCAGUGGCGAAGGCGGCUCACUGGCUCGGUACUGACGCUCAUGUGCGAAAGCGUGGGGAGCAAACAGG
rnacentral:rRNA from 1 species